rnacentral:rRNA from 1 species
UACAGAGGUGGCAAGCGUUGUUCGGAAUUACUGGGCGUAAAGCGCACGUAGGCGGCUUUGUAAGUUAGAGGUGAAAGCCCGGAGCUCAACUCCGGAAUUGCCUUUAAGACUGCAUCGCUUGAACGUCGGAGAGGUAUGUGGAAUUCCGAGUGUAGAGGUGAAAUUCGUAGAUAUUCGGAAGAACACCAAUGGCGAAGGCGACAUACUGGACGACUGUUGACGCUGAGGUGCGAAAGCGUGGGGAGCAAACAGG